rnacentral:rRNA from 1 species
AUUGAACGCUGGCGGCAGGCCUAACACAUGCAAGUCGAACGAGUGGCGGACGGGUGAGUAAUGUCUGGGAAACUGCCUGAUGGAGGGGGAUAACUACUGGAAACGGUAGCUAAUACCGCAUACCAUCAGAUGUGCCCAGCUGGGAUUAGCUAGUAGGUGGGGUAACGGCUAACCUAGGCGACGAUCCCUAGCUGGUCUGAGAGGAUGACCGGCCACACGGGAACUGAGACACGGUCCAGACUCCUACGGGAGGCAGCAGUGGGGAAUAUUGCACAAUGGGCGCAAGCCUGAUGCAGCAAGGCCGCGUGUGUGAAGAAGGCCUUCGGGUUGUAAAGUACUUUCAGCGGGGAGGCGUUACCCGAAGAAGAAGCAACGGCUAACUCCGUGCCAGCAGCCGCGGUAAUAC